rnacentral:rRNA from 1 species
GGAUUAGAUACCCUGGUAGUCCACGCUGUAAACGAUGUCGACUUGGAGGUUGUGCCCUUGAGGCGUGGCUUCCGGAGCUAACGCGUUAAGUCGACCGCCUGGGGAGUACGGCCGCAAGGUUAAAACUCAAAUGAAUUGACGGGGGCCCGCACAAGCGGUGGAGCAUGUGGUUUAAUUCGAUGCAACGCGAAGAACCUUACCUACUCUUGACAUCCACAGAAUUCGGCAGAGAUGCCUUAGUGCCUUCGGGAACUGUGAGACAGGUGCUGCAUGGCUGUCGUCAGCUCGUGUUGUGAAAUGUUGGGUUAAGUCCCGCAACGAGCGCAACCCUUAUCCUUUGUUGCCAGCACGUAAUGGUGGGAACUCAAAGGAGACUGCCGGUGAUAAACCGGAG